rnacentral:rRNA from 1 species
UACGGGGGGAGCAAGCGUUGUUCGGAUUUACUGGGCGUAAAGGGCGCGUAGGCGGUCACUACAAGUCAGUUGUGAAAUCUCUGGGCUUAACUCAGAACGGUCAACUGAUACUGUCGGACUAGAGUGCAGAAGGGGCAACUGGAAUUCUCGGUGUAGCGGUGAAAUGCGUAGAUAUCAGGAGGAACACCGGUGGUGUAGACGGCUUUCUGGACCGUAACUGACGCUGAGACACGAAAGCGUGGGUAGCAAACAGG